rnacentral:rRNA from 1 species
GACGAACGCUGGCGGCGUGCCUAAUACAUGCAAGUAGAACGCUGAAGGAGGAGCUUGCUCUUCUGGAUGAGUUGCGAACGGGUGAGUAACGCGUAGGUAACCUGCCUGGUAGCGGGGGAUAACUAUUGGAAACGAUAGCUAAUACCGCAUAAGAGUAGAUGUUGCAUGACAUUUGCUUAAAAGGUGCAAUUGCAUCCCUACAAGAUGGACCUGCGUUGUAUUAGCUAGUUGGUGGGGUAACGGCUCACCAAGGCGACGAUACAUAGCCGACCUGAGAGGGUGAUCGGCCACACUGGGACUGAGACACGGCCCAGACUCCUACGGGAGGCAGCAGUAGGGAAUCUUCGGCAAUGGACGGAAGUCUGACCGAGCAACGCCGCGUGAGGGAAGAAGGUUUUCGGAUCGUAAAGCUCUGUUGUAAGAGAAGAACGAGUGUGAGAGUGGAAAGUUCACACUGUGACGGUAUCUUACCAGAAAGGGACGGCUAACUACGUG